UACGGGAGGCAGCAGGGGGAAUAUUGGACAAUGGGCGCAAGCCUGAUCCAGCCAUGCCGCGUGAGUGAUGACGGCCUUAGGGUUGUAAAGCUCUUUUACCUGGGAAGAUAAUGACGGUACCGGGAGAAUAAGCCCCGGCUAACUUCGUGCCAGCAGCCGCGGUAAUACGAAGGGGGCUAGCGUUGUUCGGAUUUACUGGGCGUAAAGCGCACGUAGGCGGAAAUUUAAGUCAGGGGUGAAAUCCCGAGGCUCAACCUCGGAACUGCCUUUUGAUACUGGGUUUCUUGAGUCCGGAAGAGGUGAGUGGAACUGCGAGUGUAGAGGUGAAAUUCGUAGAUAUUCGCAAGAACACCAGUGGCGAAGGCGGCUCACUGGUCCGGAACUGACGCUGAGGUGCGAAAGCGUGGGGAGCGAAACAGGGAUUAGAUACC
rnacentral:rRNA from 1 species